GACUACAGAAGCUAAAUAGAAGCAACGGUCUUGUAAACCGAAGAAUGAAUAACACUUUCCUUAGUCU
rnacentral:tRNA from 1 species